CUCAUGUGAGGCUGUGUUAGACAUCUUAGUUAAUUCAGACAUGUCUUACAACAUUAUAACCAGACAACAGACCUACUUCCGUGAAAACAUUUAACAAACAUGGAGAACCCUGCGAUUAACUCCCUCACACAUCUCUUUCUUCCCACAUGCUUUGACUGGAAAUCAAGAUGAUUGCAUCCAGGGCCCAGACACAGUGCCUCUUUCCAUGCCAAUUCCACAGUCCUCGUCUUAAAGAUUUUGUCAGACAGGAACUUCGCACCUAUGGAUGAUUUUGCCUUUAUUGGAGCACACUUCAUAACACCUGCCUUCAUCCGCGGUCGGAAGCAGUUGCCAGGGAAAGAGAGAGGCUGAUAGCCACAUAACCUGCCCCUGGUUAAGAACAUGAAGGAUGAGAGCGAAGACAGAAGAGGCAACACUCGUCAAAAUCAACACGACUGGCAGUGUGGUUAAACUGCAAUACCACUGCCUGCCCUACUGCAGCUGACGCCUGCCCUCCUGCUGCUGCCUGCACUGCUGAUGCCUACCACACUGCUGCUGAUUCCUGUGCUACUGCUGCCUGUACUGCUGAUGCCUACCCUGGUGCUGCCUGCCAUCCUGCCUUCAUUGCCAUUACCACUGGGUGACGUCAGGUCCAGGUGCCGACAUCCGAUGGAACCGGGGGUACCUCAGCUGGCUCGUCAGGCUUCCACACCUCAGCCGGCUCGUCAAGCUCCCACGCCUCAGCCGGCUCGUCAGGCUCCCACGCCUCGGCCAGCCAGUCAGGCUCGCCCAGGUAGGACGCUGGGUGGCACCCCUAGAGGAGGGGCUACUGUCAAGCCUUUUUCUGCUCUCCCUCUCUGGCGCUCGAGGGCACCAGGCUGCCCUUCAUUAUGCACACCUGCCGCCAUCAUUACGUGCAUCAGCGUUCAUUGGACUCACCUGGACUCCUUCACCUUUUUGAUUGCCCCAUCUAUAUCUGUCUGUCCCUCCGUUGCUUCCCCGUGUCCGCAUUAAUGUCGUUAUGUUUUAUGCCCAGACGCUGUCCUGUCUUGUGCUGUUUUAUGUCCAUUGUUAAUUAAAUGUUCACGUCCUAUACCUGUUUCUCGUCUACCACCAUCGAUCCUUACAGAACAGCCGUCUUUGUGUUCUCUUUUUGACUCCCUCUGCAUAUUUGCAUAUUUUUCUCCAUUUUAGCUAAAAUAAUCUGCUUCCAAUGGGCAUUCCACUGAUUUCAAAACUCAGUCCUCCUGAAAGUGGAGAGCAUGAGCAAGGUUUCCUGAAAUGAGUCAAAUUUUUUCAAAAUAUUUGUUUAUUCUCUGCAGCAUCUCAAUUUUUGAUGUACAUUACAUUUCAUUACAUUUGUGAACAUACUUUUCCAAGUUAUGACACGGAUUACUUUUAUUAAAAUGAAAUAGAUCUAUACAGUAG